UACAGAGGUCCAAAGCGUUGUUCGGAUUCACUGGGCGUAAAGGGUGCGCAGGGGGGCUGGCAAGUUCGAUGUGAAAGCCCCGGGCUUAACCCGGGAAUGGCAUUGGAUACUGUUGAUCUGGAGGGUCGGAGGGGGGACUGGAAUUCUUGGUGUAGCAGUGAAAUGCGUAGAUAUCAAGAGGAACACCAGUGGCGAAGGCGAGUCCCUGGACGAUACCUGACACUGAGGCACGAAAGCCAAGGGAGCAAACAGG
rnacentral:rRNA from 1 species